rnacentral:rRNA from 1 species
ACUCCUACGGGAGGCAGCAGUAAGGAAUAUUGGUCAAUGGACGCAAGUCUGAACCAGCCAUGCCGCGUGGAGGAUGAAGGCCCUCUGGGUUGUAAACUUCUUUUAUCUGGGACGAAAAAGGGACUUUCUAGUUCAACUGACGGUACCAGAGGAAUAAGCACCGGCUAACUCCGUGCCAGCAGCCGCGGUAAUACGGAGGGUGCAAGCGUUAUCCGGAUUCACUGGGUUUAAAGGGUGCGUAGGUGGGUUGGUAAGUCAGUGGUGAAAUCUCCAGGCUUAACUUGGAAACUGCCAUUGAUACUAUUAAUCUUGAAUACCGUGGAGGUCAGCGGAAUAUGUCAUGUAGCGGUGAAAUGCUUAGAUAUGACAUAGAACACCAAUUGCGAAGGCAGCUGGCUACACGAAUAUUGACACUGAUGCACGAAAGCGUGGGGAUCAAACAGGAUUAGAUACCCUGGUAGUCCACGCCCUAAACGAUGGAUACUCGACAUACGCGAUAUACUGUGUGUGUCUGAGCGAAAGCAUUAAGUAUCCCACCUGGGAAGUACGAUCGCAAGAUUGAAACUCAAAGGAAUUGACGG